rnacentral:rRNA from 1 species
UACGUAGGGUGCGAGCGUUGUCCGGAAUUAUUGGGCGUAAAGGGCUCGUAGGCGGUCUGUUGCGUCGGGAGUGAAAACUCAGGGCUUAACCCUGAGCCUGCUUCCGAUACGGGCAGACUAGAGGUAUGCAGGGGAGAACGGAAUUCCUGGUGUAGCGGUGAAAUGCGCAGAUAUCAGGAGGAACACCGGUGGCGAAGGCGGAUCUCUGGGCCUUACCUGACGCUCAGGCGCGAAAGCUAGGGGAGCGAACAGG